GACAAAUUUCAGCGAAAAGGGGGAAAAAAAUUCCCGCCGCGUGCAGAAGUCAAAGAAUCGUACACAUGCAAACCAUCACUCUGUCAUUAAAUAGUGCACUGAAAUUAUUUCUCCCAAACUUGAACCAAUCGAUUUCUCCAUCAGGAAGAAGAUGAAGAGCAAAGGUAGAUUCGUUGGACAAAGAUGGUGGAGCAUAAGGGGCUUACCUUCAGUAUUUCUGCUAUGUCUUUUCUUCUUCCUCGCCGGUUUCUUCGGUUCUACUCUCAUUUCUCAUCAGGAUGUACAACUACUUACUGUACGGCCUAGGUCGAGGGUGCUUGAAUCUGUGGAAGAAUUUGAUGUUUUGCCUAAUGGCGACACUGGAGAACAUUCCCUCACUUCCAUCCCCUUUCAGGUCUUAAGCUGGUUCCCACGUGCAUUAUACUUUCCCAAUUUCGCAACUAUAGAACAAUGCCAAGGCAUUAUUAAGAUGGCAAAGGCAGAUCUGAAACCAUCAUCUUUGGCUCUCCGCAAAGGAGAAACAGCAGAGAAUACCAAAGGAAUUAGAACAAGUUCUGGUAUGUUUAUCAGUGCAUCUGAAGACAAAACUGGAAUUCUGGACCUCAUUGAGGAGAAAAUCGCAAAGGCGACUAUGAUCCCCAGGACACACGGAGAGGCAUUUAAUGUUUUGCGGUACGAAACCGGCCAGAGUUAUCAUUCACAUUAUGAUGCGUUUGAUCCUUCUCAAUAUGGUCCUCAGAGGAGCCAAAGGAUUCAUUGCAAUGACUUCAUUUUUACAUGGAAUCACCAUGGUGUGUUAUUUGGAUCACCACAAGGUGUCCAGACUAAAAAUAAUGUAUUUUCAUUUAGGUUGCAUCCUUUUUGUUGUAUUUAUCUGAUGUGGAAGAAGGUGGAGAAACCAUGUUCCCUUUCGAGAGUGCACAGAAUAUGGAUGCUAAUUAUGACUUCCGCAAGUGUAUUGGUCUGAAAGUGAAGCCACGUAGAGGGGAUGGACUACUAUUUUACUCGCUGUUUCCAAAUGGUACAAUUGACCCGACAUCUAUUCACGGGAGCUGUGCAGUAAUCCGAGGUGAAAAAUGGGUUGCCACAAAGUGGAUCAGGGAUCAAGAAAUGGAUGAAUAAACGAGUACAUGUCUCGAAGUGGUGUUGAUAUAAUUCUUUUGUAAUUUAAUGUAGUGACUCACUAGGAUUUUGAAACGAGUUUUGCAGUAAAUAUAUCUAGUGUUCGUUCAUA